rnacentral:rRNA from 1 species
AUACGGAGGAUGCAAGCGUUAUCCGGAUUUAUUGGGUUUAAAGGGUGCGUAGGCGGUUUGCUAAGCGGGAGGUGAAAUGCCGGCGCUCAACGUCGGAAGUGCCUCCCGAACUGGUGGACUGGAAUGACUCUGCCGUGGGAGGAAUGUGUAGUGUAGCGGUGAAAUGCUUAGAGAUUACACAGAACACCGAUUGCGAAGGCAUCUCACGAAGGGUUGAUUGACGCUGAGGCACGAAAGCGUGGGGAUCAAACAGGAUUAGAUACCCUGGUAGUCCACGCAGUAAACGAUGAUGGCUAACCGCUGGUUUAUUCGGAUCAGUGGCCAAGCGAAAGCGAUAAGCCAUCCACCUGGGGAGUACGACCGCAAGGUUGAAACUCAAAGGAAUUGGCGGGG